rnacentral:rRNA from 1 species
CCUACGGGUGGCAGCAGUGAGGAAUAUUGGUCAAUGGACGAGAGCCUGACCCAGCCAAGUAGCGUGAAGGAUGACUGCCCUAUGGGUUGUAAACUUCUUUUAUAUGGGAAUAAAAUGUUCCCCGUGUGGGAUUUUGUAUGUACCAUAUGAAUAAGGAACGACUAACUCCGUGCCAGCCGCCGCGGUAAUACGGAGGAUCCGAGCGUUGUCCGGAUUUAUUGGGUUUAAAGGGCGCGUAGGUGGAUUGGUAAGUCAGUUGGGAAAGUUUGCGGCUCAACCGUAAAAUUGCAGUUGAAACUGGCAGUCUUGAGUACAGUAGAGGUGGGCGGAAUUCGUGGUGUAGCGGUGAAAUGCUUAGAUAUCACGAAGAACUCCGAUUGCGAAGGCAGCUUACUGGACUGCAACUGACACUGAGGCUCGAAAGUGUGGGUAUCAAACAGGAUUAGAUACCCGUGUAGUC